GAGAAAACUGAGCUGGAGAAAGAGGGAAACCCACAAGAAUACGGGAAUGUACCUAACCAGGGAGUGACGUCCCGUUAGACUCCGGUGGUGUGCUCCGCCUGAGCCAACGAACAGAAAUGUGUUUCCUUAGCUGAUCCUGACCUCCAUGCCGCCCCGCCGAGAGCCCCCAGCUGAUUCAACAACCACAAGCGUCAGGAAACCCACCUCCUUAUCCCGAACCAGGGACUUCAUCGCUAACAUCAAAGCCGUCUCCAUAUGACGAACCAAGACGGCAACUGGAGGCAAUAACCUCACCAGUGGCUUAUCACACUCAAAGUCACGCCACUAUAAAGCCAUCUGCAGAGCCUGAGACAGGCUAUGCCCCGCAGUUCCCAAUGGUGGAGGUAUCUGGACCUGAGGGAGUGAUUAUGGUCCACUGUCACUGGACUGCAGACCUGAGCAAGCCAGGUGACAUCGGCGGACGACACUUCGGACAAGAACUGAUGGCAUUCGUGCAGUCCUGCAGACCAACUCAGGCUGAAUUGAGACGGUUGCUGAUGAUUUGACUCGGACCGCAGUAUAACCGCAUUGACAGAGGCUGGGUGAAUGGAGAUGUCCGUCUCCAUCUGCCUGAGUGGAAUGCACCGCCCCAAGGCCAACCUGACCUAAACGGCCCAUACAGAGAGAUGAUAAGAGGACUCAUCGAAAGAGUGGAAGCAGCAUACCCAACAACUGUUAACACUGAUGUGAUAGCAGCAUGCAAGCAAAGAGAUGAUGAGCCCGUCGCUGAUUUCCUCGUUCGUUUGACACACGUCCAUACUGAUCACUGUGGAAUUGACGCGCCAGCACAACGUGCAGCGGGCCCCGGAGAAGUGGGGGCAUGGGAAGCUCAUCUGAGAAACAGCUUCCUUAUGAACAUGAGAAAGGACAUUAGUGAUCUUAUCAGAAAAAACUGCAUCGGCUACAGUAGAGCCCCUUUGUCGACUAUUGAAGAACACGCCAAGCAUCAUGAAACCAUCCUGGGUAAGAAGGACACUAGACGGGAGUGCCAGCGCCCCGACGCCACUCAUCAGGCGAUGCUGACCAUGCUCCAGACAGUAGGGGACAGAGGAAGAGGUCGCGGACGCGGACGAGGGAGAGGAAGAGGCCGAGGAAAGGGACUUGAAGGGAAAGAGUGCUACAAUUGUGGGAAGUACAAAUACAAAUGACAAAUACAAAUGACAAUUACAAAUUUUAUGAGAGUGUGUGUGUGUAUGUGUGUGUGGAACAUUUUUAAAUGUAUAUUUAAAGGGUCACUAUACUUCAUAGUUUUGAUCACAAAUCAUAUUUGUUUUUACAGAAUGUUGUUCUUUUUAAAUAAUUCCCAUUAGUUGAAAUACAUGGGCAUUUGGAUAUGCACAUACCUACACAAACAAAUCACCCACAUCUGUGCAUAUCCUGCUUAUCCAUCAUUUCACUUAACCGAUCAGUGUUUUGCCUGCUUGUGCCUGUAGUUUAACAACAUAAUCUGGGAUUCUUCUUUGAGAAGUAAGAUAUUUUACAUAUUAAUAAAAUAGCAUGUUCAAGAGAACACGUUCCACAA